UACGGAGGGAGCUAGCGUUGUUCGGAAUUACUGGGCGUAAAGCGCACGUAGGCGGCUAUUCAAGUCAGAGGUGAAAGCCCGGGGCUCAACUCCGGAACUGCCUUUGAAACUAGAUGGCUAGAAUCUUGGAGAGGCGAGUGGAAUUCCGAGUGUAGAGGUGAAAUUCGUAGAUAUUCGGAAGAACACCAGUGGCGAAGGCGACUCGCUGGACAAGUAUUGACGCUGAGGUGCGAAAGCGUGGGGAGCAAACAGG
rnacentral:rRNA from 1 species